rnacentral:pre_miRNA from 1 species
AAAAGAAAUGUGUUUCUCCUCUGCGGUACCUUGAAUUUCUUUGCAGUAAGUGCUACAUGUUGGGGUAGUCUUGGUGUCUAGCAA